AGUAGCCCAGUGGUAUAAUACAUUCCCAUUUGACCAACCAACCUGUGUUCAAAUCCAGGGUUUUACAUAUUUUUAAUUUCAAAUCGUGUAAAACGACGUCGUUUCAUCUCAUUUGAAAACGACGUCGUUUUACUUAACGUCAACAAUAAACGACGUCAAAUAUUUCUGUUAAAUUUGUUGACGGCGUGCUAAAUUGGCAAGUCAGCGAAAACAUUGUUAAUUAAUUCUAAAGUCAAUGAAAGUUUGGUGUUUUUUUGGCCAGCCCCAAAGUUCAUGUUUGUUUUGGCAAUUCGUGUAAAGUUGAGGUUUUUUUUGGCCGAAUUCCCUUUAUUCAUCUUACUACUCGCCCGUGAGUUUGUACAAAAUUCUGAUGCAACUUAUACAUAAAGGAAUAUAUUAUCUUGUAAAGUAACUUAUUUACUUUGGUGUGAAUAAGACUUUUAACAAAUAAACCAAUAUCAGUUUCAAAAAAAAAAAAAAUAACCAAUGAGAUUAUGGCGUCGAACAACGUAGAUCGGUAGAUGACAUCGAAAGUUUUAUCAACAAAAUCCAUAGACAUCGAGGUCAAAGGACUUAGGUGGUGUGUUAUGGUGGCUACUAUAUAAGGAAAGAUAAAAAAGAAUCCGACCAACGUUAUAUAAUUUUGUCUGGAAAUGACAGUGACUCGACCUUAAAAACAUACUUCUACACUAAGUUUUUAAUUCGGUAUGUUUGUGUUGAAAUAUGGAUGUGAUCUGAUGGAUAAGUUCUAGUGGAGCAUAUACAAUUUUCAAUUAAAUAAUGUUACGUUUUCUCUCGUAUUGUAGCUCAACAAACAUCGAAUAAAAAUCCACGUCCUUU
rnacentral:lncRNA from 1 species